GCACCGCAGUGCUAUGGGCACUGCUGCUCUCAUGACCCUGCUGCCAUGUAACGGCCUGUGCCUGGCUCCGGGAAGACCACAAGAGCCGACUGACAGUAACACAGCUCUUAGCCCAGGGAGUCAAAAUGACUGACUGCAUUUCUGGCACUGAUCUUCUCUGAUCCAGAACAGACAAUGGAUUUUUGCUUCACUAUUCCUUCACCUGCAAAAUAGAGGCAGUAUCACAGAGGCAUGAGGAAUUUGAAAUGUUUAUCUUAUAAUGUUGCAAAGGUGUUCUUAUUAUUUAGAAGUGCCUCCUCUUCUUCCACAGGUGGAUGAAAUUCAAGACUCUUCAGACAUGCUUUUGCAGUGCUGCAAAUGGAGGAGGGACUCUUGGCUCUUAUGGAAACUUUGGAAGACGCCUUUGGUGCCUCCUGGGAAGGUGUUAACACCUCUCUGUGAAACAUUUGCAGUGUGGGACCUCUCAGAAGACUGUCAUAUGGGCAGGAACCCUGUUUGCUAGCUGCCAAGACUGAUGCUCUGGUGUCUUACGUCAGUUCCAGUUACACCGCAAUUGCUGGCAUCGCAACGUUAGUUUCUGUUGCUGACAGCCUGUGAAAGGAGCAAUGGGAAGCAGAAAUGCUGGAGACUGCUUACUGCUGGGAAAGGACCAAAGAAUGAAGGAAAGAUAAAGGAGGGGGAAAGAAGGAAAGACAAACAUUGUUCAUAGACAUUGAAAAUGAAGAGUGACCUCUCUUCUGGCCAGAAGAACCUUCACAGCCUGGGCCCAUCCCACCAUGAUACCUAAGGUUUUCAGAGGAUUUGUUCCCAUGACCUUCCUGGAAGGGACAAAGCUCUGCUCCACUGAAGGGGAAGUCUGCUCAGAUCCGAGCUUGACAUCACCCAGGCUCAGAGCAGAUAUGCUUGCUUGGAUGGGAACCAUGAAAUUUUAAAGUAGAUCUGACAUUUUGAAGUGGAACAAGAGCUGGGAAACUCUCAAGGCAUCAAUAUCUAAUGUCACCCAGUUCCAGAACAGAGGGUAAAGUGGGGGAGGAAAGAUCCUUUAAGUUUGCAGCUCGAUCACCUCCAAUGUUGCUCCUAGCAAUGACAAGUAUCUUCUUAAAAGUCCUGACAAGGGAAAGCCAAGCCAAGCUGAGUACACUUUCAGUAUGCAAUUAGCAUAAAUAUACUUUGUGCUAAACUGCACAGAGUCAGAAACAAAGAGCUUGUGAAGGUCCUAAUUGUUUCAGAGGGAAUACAUGUCAUGGAGAGAAAGACAAAGGGGAGCCAUGUCCAAGAAGACAUGAGAGAGAGGCCAAACCAACAAUUGCCUGAAUCCAAAACAGCCCCAGAGGCUGUCUCUGAAGACCUGCCAAUGGAGUCAGCAGUGGAAUUUGCCAGGGACUUAGCCUAAAUUCAGCCACAAACCUUGCCGCUCAUUGCAAAUGAUACAUUUCAGUUGGCAUUGUGAACCUGCCACACUUACUGUGUGAGUGGCCACAAUUACUGACUUUAUUGCUGGAGUCCAGCAGAUGAAAGAAGGAACAUCAAGCACAUCACCAGAAGCACCACAUUUAAGAUGAAUCUUUGUAAUUUCAAGAUCUCUUAGGAACAAAAAUGUUUGCUUGGAGCUUUUUCCUCCUAUCUCGUGGUCAGCAUAGUGAGUGGCAGUAUGUGGCAGUACAGUGAGGGACCAGGGGAGACCUUUGAACUGAGUUGCUGAAGAACAGCAGCUAACUCUAGCCCUGCUCAUUUCUGAUCCUGCCCUCCCAUUGGAUUGCCAGCAUUUACUCGGACCCUCUCUCAGUGACCACCAGAUGAGACUCAAAAUAGAAACUCCUUCAUCUGCAAACCCCAUCCCUCCCUGCAGUGAGUAUGUCUGUGCUUUCUUGCUGCUGUCAGGCAACACCAUGAUAGCUGUGAUCAAAGAGCCUGCCAUGGGCCAGCACAAAGCCCGUGCAGGCAGCGAUGUGCAGGCAGGGCAGCAGGUGGGGAAAGCUCACGCUGCCUUUGAUCCCUUCCACUUGUGUCCAUUGGGAUUUGACGCUGUGCACGCUGUGGGUUUGCUGAAGAGCCCUCUGGCUCCACGGUGCUGGGUCAGGACUAUUGUCCUUGGGCUUUCAACAUGCCACAAGUGUUUGCAGCCGGGAUCCUGACAGCUUUCUGUGCCAGUGCCUUUUAUAUGAUGCUGCAGAUGAGUCUUUUGUCCUCAACUCAGACUUUCAGACUCCUCUGGAUCUAAAGUUUCAAAAUUGUCUCUCAGACCAGCUCACCGCACAUACUCUCCCUCCAGAUAAACAAGGUUUAUUUGACUUGGAAAACAGACAAUAGUUUUCUUCUUAAUUAUGAAAGAUGCACUGUACAGAAUACCUCUCCUAAGACUGUGCAAAAUUGCAUUUAACAGUGAUAACAAUGAAGUUACAGUGUUACGAUCUGAGCAGGAGUGCAGCUUGUAACUUGGGAGCCAUCUGUCUAACUUUCAGACUGGUUGACAGUUUUAAUCACUUUCCUUUGUCACCAAGACUUCCUUUAUUUGUCCGUACCUCUUUCUUUUAUACAAGAUGCAAUCUUUUACUUUGUAGACAUGAACAUAAAUAUUUGGACACGACCGGUGAAGCUUUCAGAUGUUUGCUCAGGAAUAAAUCUUUCUGUGAGUCCUUGGUUCAAGAUGGAGGUAGGAAGUAAUUGCCCAUAAAAUUCCCUGUGGGUUGGCAAGAGGAAGGGAUACUUCAUAUAUGUCGAAGGAUGGCUUUCAGUAAAUGGACGUCUGGAAGCAAAACUGCUGCUAAAGAGAAAAACUGAUUUGUGAAGACUAGGGAGAAUGUGGGCCCUCUCUGGAAGGAAACAGGAGACCUGGUUACCUGGGACAUGGAGAAGGCUGAGGUACUCAAUGACUUUUUUGCUUCAGUCUUCACCCACAGGUGCUCCAGCCACAUUGCCCAAGAUGCAGAAGGCAAAGGCAGGGACUGGCAGAAUGAAGAACCGCCCACUGUAGAAGAUCAGGUUCGAGACCAUAUAAGGAACUUGAAGGUGCACGAGUCCAUGGGACCCGAUGAGAUGCAUCUGCAGGUUCUGAAGGACCUGGUGGAUGAGGUGGUUAGGUCACUAUCCAUCAUAUUUGAGAAGUGGUGGCUGUCCAGUGAAGUUCCCGCUGACUGGAAAAGGGGAAACAUAACCCCCAUUUUUAAAAAGGGUAAAAAAGAAGACCCAGCGAACUACAAACCAGUCAGUCUCAUCUCUCUGCUCAGCAAGAUCAUUGAGCAGAUCCUCCUGGAAACUAUGCUAGAGCAUGUGGAAAAUAAGGAGGUGAUUGGUGGCAGCCAACAUGGCUUCACCAAGGGUAAAUUGUGCCUGAUGAAUUUGGCGGCCUUCUACGACAGGGUUACAGCAUCAACACAUAAGGGAAGAGGAAAUGACAUCAUCUACCUGGACUUGUGCAAAAUAUUUGACACAUGUCCUACAUGACAUCCUUGUCUCUAA